rnacentral:rRNA from 1 species
CACUGACGUUCAUGCUCGAAAGCGUGGGUAGCAAACAGGAUUAGAUACCCUGGUAGUCCACGCCCUAAACGAUGUCAAUUAGCUGUUGGGCAACUUGAUUGCUUAGUAGCGUAGCUAACGCGUGAAAUUGACCGCCUGGGGAGUACGGUCGCAAGAUUAAAACUCAAAGGAAUUGACGGGGACCCGCACAAGCGGUGGAUGAUGUGGAUUAAUUCGAUGCAACGCGAAGAACCUUACCUGGUCUUGACAUGUACGGAAUCCUCCAGAGACGGAGGAGUGCCUUCGGGAGCCGUAACACAGGUGCUGCAUGGCUGUCGUCAGCUCGUGUCGUGAGAUGUUGGGUUAAGUCCCGCAACGAGCGCAACCCUUGUCAUUAGUUGCCAUCAUUAAGUUGGGCACUCUAAUGAGACUGCCGGUGACAAGCCGGAGGAAGGUGGGGAUGACGUCAAGUCCUCAUGGCCCUUAUGACCAGGGCUUCACACGUCAUACAAUGGUCGGUACAGAGGGUAGCCAAGCCGCGAGGUGGAGCCAAUCUCACAAAACCGAUCGUAGUCCGGAUUGCACUCUGCAACUCGAGUGCAUGAAGUCGGAAUCGCUAGUAAUCGCAGGUCAGCAUACUGCGGUGAAUACGUUCCCGGGUCUUGUACACACCGCCCGUCACACCAUGGGAGUGGGGGAUACCAGAAGUAGGUAGGGUAACCGCAAGGAGCCCGCUUACCACGGUAUGCUUCAUGACUGGGGUGAAGUCGUAACAAGGUAGCCGUAGGGGAACC